rnacentral:rRNA from 1 species
GCCUACGGGGGGCAGCAGUGAGGAAUAUUGGUCAAUGGCCGAGAGGCUGAACCAGCCAAGUCGCGUGAGGGAAGACGGCCCUACGGGUUGUAAACCUCUUUUGUCGGGGAGCAAAGCGAACCACGUGUGGUUCAUUGAGAGUACCCGAAGAAAAAGCAUCGGCUAACUCCGUGCCAGCAGCCGCGGUAAUACGGAGGAUGCGAGCGUUAUCCGGAUUUACUGGGCGUAAAGGGAGCGUAGGCGGCCUGCCAAGUCUGAUGUGAAAUACCGGGGCUCAACCCCGGGGCCGCAUUGGAAACUGGCGG